GCAGGCGUGGCGCGGGCCCGCCUCUUCCCCUGGCGUCCUGCGCGGUGAUUGGCCCCUCGGGCGUCCUGGGCGGUAGCGGGCGCGCGGCGCGGGCAUUUGAACGGUAACGGCCGCGCGGGGCGGUGAGGGGUGAAGUGGGUAUCAGGGUUUGGAGGGAGUUGUGUCUGUCUCUCUCCCUCGGGUGUAGCUGCCGGGUCCUCCCCCACCCUAUUCCUCCCGUCUCCGUGGGUGCCUUCUUCCCCUCCGUCGUUGGCGCCGUCCCGCCCCCCCCGAGUGCCCUCCCCGGGAGCGCCCCCCGCGAUCGCGCCCCCCCUCCCCGCAGCCCCGGUGCGGAGCUGCAGCAAAGGUACUUCCCUUCCGACGAGCCUGCUGGAGUGGAAAAGCACAAACGGUGGCUACGCUUUGUCCUUGCAGGCGCGGAGCGGAAUAGCGAGGUCCCUCUUCCUCUCAGAAUGGCUGCAGGUGGCUAUGAGGAAAUCCUCAAGUACUACGAAUUGCGUGAAACAAUUGGGACAGGUAGGCUUCAUCUGAACGCACACAGGUGCGUGCGAUCUGCCUAACCGCUGGAGUACUUACCUGAGCGCAGACUCACUGUUACCCCGGAAUCUACAGGCCGUGUUUCAAGCGUGUCUCUCAGGGGACAGAACGCUGUGAGUGGAGGUCGGUAGCAGCGAUCGCUUCUCCCUCUAGCGAAGAUGCUGCGCGCUGUGUGCGCUACGGACUCCAGCGUAACUGAGACUGUAGGCCAGAAAGCGUGACAUCGCUCUUAAGCGUCUCUUGUUUGAAGUCUAGGUGGGUUUGCAAAGGUAAAACUUGCGGAACAUCUUCUCACCGGUGAAAAAGUUGCACUAAAAAUCACGGAUAAACUUGCUCUAGGGGUAAGCCAAAAGAUACUUAACAGUCGGUAGCGUCUUCUGCUGUUCCUGUGGCGUUCUCGAGAACAGAGGGGCGCGACACGUCAGUGCCGCCUGCUUGUCCUGUUGGUUAUCGACUGAUGCUGUAGACUGGGAAGAGCGUUAAUAGAAGACCACAAAUCUUGUGCUCUGUUGUGGAGAGGGCAACCUUCUCUGGCUGUAAAAUUGAGGAAGUUAAAGAUGAUUACAGUAAUUGAAACAGAAUGCUGGUGAGGAUGCUAACUAUUUUACACCUGCCCCUCUGGGUUUUGCUGCUCGGUGUGCCAGAACUGUAGGGCAGUAACAGCAGAGCUGUUGCUGGAUUGAAUCUGAGCAGCUGAAUUGUAUGCUGUCAUCUCCGUGCUGUGAAAUUGUGUGUCUCCCAAUAGCCUGACGCUUGCUGUGACGUCCGGGCUGUCCAGGUAGUCGGCAAUUUCAUACCUUGCUGUUGCCGUCUCUUGGGAUGAUUUGCCUCGUGUUAAGGUAGAAAUUGAGGCCACAAAGGACUUAGGUCACCAGCAUAUUUGCCAGUUGUAUCACGUGAUAGAGACAUCCAGGAAAAUAUUCAUGGUCUUAGAGUACUGUCCUGGAGGAGAGCUGCUUGAUUAUGUAAUUUCUAAGGACCGCCUUUCGGAAGAGGAAGCUCGUGUAUUUUUUCGGCAGAUUGUUUCAGCAGUUGCUUACGUUCACAGUCGGGGAUACGCCCACAGGGACCUCAAACCGGCCCUUCUCAGCAGAUGGGAGCUAGUGUUCCCCAUCUGGAAUACGGGAUAUGUUCACUAGCAGCCGGUCAAAAUCUGCAGAGGAGAGCUUUAGGAAAACCCCCUGAUUGACGAGCAACGUAACUUGAAGCUGAUAGACUUUGGACUUUGUGCAAAGCCAAAGAAGAUUUGUGUGUAUGUGGAGAUUGUGGACCGAAUCCCGGUUACGGUUAGGAAUCCUCUGGUUCCACGUGAUUGUAGCAAGUUGUUUCCCGAGUUUAAAAUUGGUUCCUAGGAGACCUUUAAAGCCAUUUGUCAGCUUAACACGUGAGGGUGGCCUUGAUUACCAUCUGAGCACGUGCUGCGGAAGCCCGGCUUAUGCAGCACCGGAGCUGAUUCAGGGCAAGGCAUAUAUUGGCUCAGAGGUACGUGGCACAGUUUUGGGUUAGGGCUCCCCCCGCACCGCCCCCCAUGUGUUUGAAGCGGUGCGGUUCAGAUACGCUCACGUAUCUGGUUUCUCUCUCGGGUACCGCUGGAUAACAUU